AAAAGAAAAGCAGCGAAGCCUGCCCAGUUUGCAAUCAAAAUUCUAUAGUCUACAUGGUCAUUCCAGAUGCAAUUUUAAUACAAUAGACUUUGUUUUAAAUGUAAUGUUUCUCCUUCAUCGAAUUACAAGUGUUGAACAUCGGUUAACUACAAUUGUCGCCUUAUUAUCCAUGUAUCAAUUCAAUUAUGAUGCCUUCAUUUGUCGUGAGUUGAAACGUUUUUGUAGAAUACAUUUGGAUGACAUCAG
rnacentral:lncRNA from 1 species